rnacentral:rRNA from 1 species
UACGAAGGGGGCUAGCGUUGUUCGGAAUCACUGGGCGUAAAGGGCGCGUAGGCGGCCGAUCAAGUCGGGGGUGAAAGCCUGUGGCUCAACCACAGAAUUGCCUUCGAUACUGUUUGGCUUGAGACCGGAAGAGGUUAGUGGAACUGCGAGUGUAGAGGUGAAAUUCGUAGAUAUUCGCAAGAACACCGGUGGCGAAGGCGGCGACCUGGUCCGAUACUGACGCUGAGGCGCGAAAGCGUGGGGAGCAAACAGG